GACGAACGCUGGCGGCGUGCUUAACACAUGCCAGUCGAACGGAAAGGCCCUGCUUUUGACGGGUGCUCGAGUGGCGAAAGGGUGAGUAACACGAGAGUAACCUGACCUCGACUUUGGGAUAACUUCAGGAAACUAGUGCUAAUAAUGGCUAGGUGCUCCUGCGGCAUGGUGGGGGAUGGAUAGUUUCGCAGGUUGGGGAUGGACCCGCGGCUUAUCAGCUUGUUGGUGGGGUAGUGGCUUACCAAGGCUUUGACGGGUAGCCGGCCUGAGAGGGUGACCGGCCACAUUGGGACUGAGAUACGGCCCAGACUCCUACGGGAGGCAGCAGUGGGGAAUAUUGCACAAUGGGCGGAAGCCUGAUGCAGCAACGCCGCGUGCGGGAUGACGGCCUUCGGGUUGUAAACCUCUUUCGCCUGGGACGAAGCGUGAGUGACGGUAAUUGGAGAAGAAGCACCGGCUAACUACGUG
rnacentral:rRNA from 1 species